UCUUCUCCGUCUGUUCAUCAACCAUUCUCUCCUUCUGAAGCCUGUCUGUCUCUCUCUGCGCGGAGGUGCACACAGCAGUGUCGUGCCCCACCCCAGUCUCCUGUGCUCUGCUCUGAUACGCGCUUUACCGUGCGCACGGCUCAUUUUCGACCCCUUUCUCUGUCGUAGCACCAUGGACGAUGACUACGCUUUCUUCGAAUCCGACAACUUAGUCGAGGAGGAGCUGCCUGUCAUCGGUGCUUUUCCCGACCCCGUUGCCGAGUUUGGCGGCGUCGUCGGGCCCACCGGUGCAAUCGGCGAUUCGGCUCUGACAGCGGACGGCCAUCUCGCUGCUGCCGCGGCCACGCUGCCCGGCGGCGACGACGCUGCUGCCAACCUGGACGUUGACGAGCUCCCUCCACCCAUCAAGAACGUGCAAGAGUUCCUGCCGAAUGUUCACCCGGAUGCCUUCCCUGUUGUCGUAGCCGUGCAGGCCCAGGCCAGUAUUCCGGUCGGCAUUAACCUCGCUGAACUUAGCUGUGCCACACGCAAUGUGGAGUACAUGCCGAACAACCGAAUUCCAUCUGCGACGAUGCGGCUGCAUGAACCGACUGCCGUAGUCAUGAUGCACAACUCAGGGGCUCUCAGCAUCAUUGGCGCAGCUAGCGUCAGUGAGGCGCGCCAGGCGGCGGAGCUGGCAGCCCGUAUCAUCCGCAAAGCGCUCAACCUCAACUUCUCAUCCCUCAAGUUCCGCGUCCGCUCCAUCGCGGCGCGCUUCAACGUGUGCAGCCCGAUUCGUCUCGACAAGCUCGCCGCCUACCAACUAGACCCCGCCAUGUCGAUCGGGGUGGCGAAGCUGCAGGUCAGCUACGAGCCAGAGCGCUUCAACGGCUGCGUGCUUCGCCUCGUGGGCAAGUCCUCGCGCGGCGACAACCAGUGGAGUGUGAGCUGCAGCGUGUUUGUGACCGGCAAGGUGCAGCUGAUGGGCGCCCGCAGCAUGGAUGAACUGCGUUUUGCCUUCAAUGCCUUUGUGCCUAUCAUUGCCAAGAAUUUGGACGAGCGAAAGACUGCCUAGUGGUCCGUGCGGAGGAUUACGUGUGUCUCUUAACGUACCCCGUGGGUGACGCGUGAUCACUGGUAUUUUUUUGUUUCGAUCAACUGCUGCUCUACUGCCUUCAUGGUGAAGAAAAUGACGAAAGGAGAAAGAAGGGGAACACUGAGCCAUCGCGCUGCUCGCCACGUCGUUCACACACACACACACACACACAUACACCUGUUUCUUGAUUCUGCGCGUCUGGUGGCCGCCCUUCCUCUCCUCCACUUUGCCGAGGGCUGUUCCGGGACGUCGGUGCGUGACGCCGCUACCCGUAUUACGGCCCCCCUUUCCUACACUGGAGACCCCGUCUUUAAGAGCGUAUACACAC
rnacentral:misc_RNA from 1 species